GAUGGACGCUGGCGGCGUGCCUAAUACAUGCAAGUCGAGCGAACAGACGAGGAGCUUGCUCCUCUGACGUUAGCGGCGGACGGGUGAGUAACACGUGGAUAACCUACCUAUAAGACUGGGAUAACUUCGGGAAACCGGAGCUAAUACCGGAUAAUAUAUUGAACCGCAUGGUUCAAUAGUGAAAGACGGUUUUGCUGUCACUUAUAGAUGGAUCCGCGCCGCAUUAGCUAGUUGGUAAGGUAACGGCUUACCAAGGCAACGAUGCGUAGCCGACCUGAGAGGGUGAUAGGCCACACUGGAACUGAGACACGGUCCAGACUCCUACGGGAGGCAGCAGUAGGGAAUCUUCCGCAAUGGGCGAAAGCCUGACGGAGCAACGCCGCGUGAGUGAUGAAGGUCUUCGGAUCGUAAAACUCUGUUAUUAGGGAAGAACAAAUGUGUAAGUAACUAUGCACGUCUUGACGGUACCUAAUCAGAAAGCCACGGCUAACUACGUG
rnacentral:rRNA from 1 species